UACGGAGGGGGCUAGCGUUGUUCGGAAUUACUGGGCGUAAAGCGCACGUAGGCGGCUUUGUAAGUUAGAGGUGAAAGCCCAGGGCUUAACCCUGGAAUUGCCUUUAAGACUGCAUCGCUAGAAUCGUGGAGAGGUGAGUGGAAUUCCGAGUGUAGAGGUGAAAUUCGAUAGAUAUUCGGAAGACACAGUGGCGAAGGCGACUCACUGGACACGAUUGACGCUGAGGUG
rnacentral:rRNA from 1 species